UACGUAGGGGGCAAGCGUUGUCCGGAAUUAUUGGGCGUAAAGCGCGCGCAGGCGGUCCUUUAAGUCUGAUGUGAAAUCUUGCGGCUCAACCGUAAGCGGUCAUUGGAAACUGGAGGACUUGAGUGCAGAAGAGGAGAGUGGAAUUCCACGUGUAGCGGUGAAAUGCGUAGAGAUGUGGAGGAACACCAGUGGCGAAGGCGACUCUCUGGUCUGUAACUGACGCUGAGGCGCGAAAGCGUGGGGAGCGAACAGG
rnacentral:rRNA from 1 species